GGUGUAGGCGUACAGCCGAAGCCCAGAGGGGUUGCAGAGAAAUGGCGGUAGCGACUGUUUACCAAAAACACAGGACUCUGCGAAGGCAAGAAGCCGACGUAUAGGGUCUGACUCCUGCCCGGUGCUGGAAGGUUAAGGGGAUUCGUCAGCCGCAAGGUGAAGCGAUGAUCCGAAGCCCCAGUAAACGGCGGCCGUAACUAUAACGGUCCUAAGGUAGCGAAAUUCCUUGUCGGGUAAGUUCCGACCUGCACGAAUGGAGUAACGACUUCCGCGCUGUCUCGGAGAGGGACUCAGCGAAAUUGAAAUAGCUGUGCCGAUGCAGUUUACCCGCAGCAAGACGGAAAGACCCCGUGAACCUUUACUACAACUUGACAGUGACACUAGGGUUCGACUGUGUAGGAUAGGUGGGAGCCUUUGAAGCCGGGCCGCUAGGUUCGGUGGAGGCAACGGUGAAAUACCACCCUGUCGGAUUCUGGUGUCUAACCAUGCUCCCUCACCGGGAGUUGGAACACUGUCUGGUGGGUAGUUUGACUGGGGCGGUCGCCUCCCAAAACGUAACGGAGGCGCGCGAUGGUUCCCUCAGCCCGAUUGGAAACCGGGCGUCGAGUGCAAUGGCAUAAGGGAGCUUGACUGCGAGACGGACACGUCGAGCAGGUGCGAAAGCAGGUCAUAGUGAUCCGGUGGUCCUGAAUGGAAGGGCCAUCGCUCAACGGAUAAAAGGUACUCCGGGGAUAACAGGCUUAUCUCCCCCAAGAGUUCACAUCGACGGGGAGGUUUGGCACCUCGAUGUCGGCUCAUCGCAUCCUGGGGCUGGAGCAGGUCCCAAGGGUUUGGCUGUUCGCCAAUUAAAGCGGUACGCGAGCUGGGUUCAAAACGUCGUGAGACAGUUUGGUCCCUAUCUGCUGUGGGCGUAGGAUACUUGAGAGGCUCUGACCUUAGUACGAGAGGACCGGGUUGGAGACACCGCUGGUGUACCAGUUGUCUCGCCAGAGGCAUCGCUGGGUAGCCAUGUGUCGAUUGGAUAACCGCUGAAAGCAUCUAAGCGGGAAACCGACCUCAAGAACAGGUAUCCCGGGCGCAAGCCCCAGAAGACCCGUCGAAGACGACGACGUUGAUAGGCCGGGUGUGUAAGCGUGGUAACACGUUGAGCUAACCGGUACUAAUAGGUCGAGAGGCUUACUUUACCUCAAUCUCU
rnacentral:rRNA from 1 species